rnacentral:ncRNA from 1 species
UAGCAUGGGAUAACAUCAUAGGAUUCCGGUCCUAUUGUGUUGGCCUUCGGGAUCGGAGUAAUGAUUAAUAGGGACAGUCGGGGGCAUUCGUAUUUCAUAGUCAGAGGUGAAAUUCUUGGAUUUAUGAAAGACGAGUAACUGCGAAAGCAUUUGCCAAGGAUGUUUUCAUUAAUCAAGAACGAAAGUUGGGGGCUCGAAGACGAUCAGAUACCGUCCUAGUCUCAACCAUAAACGAUGCCGACCAGGGA